UCGGUGCAACCUGGCAUCUGGACUAUAAUUCCCAAAAUGCCCCGGGAGCGGGCGCCCCUUAAGACGCGGUCUCCGCGGCCUGGCGGUGAUACUGGAGCGGUGCAGAAGUGGGGCUUCGAGUAUUUAAAUACAUCCGGUAAAGACGCCGGAGAUUAGUUUCCAAGCUGUAUGUCCCACUCCCUGGGGCCAUUUUAUCUGGCUUGGCCUCGGGGACCGAGGCACUCUGGGAAUUGUGGUUUCACACGGGUCCGGAUUGACACCUGAAGGACGCGGCUUAACUGCCUCGCCCCCAGUUGUGCUUGGGAGUUCCCCGACGUCACGGGAGCAGAGGUACAGUUGCUGCCCCUUAACCUACUGCUAUUUCAGCCAACAAUUGGAACUCCGAAGUUAGCGACCUGCUACUCUGGCAAUGACCAGGCUACUCAGGCUAUAGCCUGGAAGAAAUUCCUUUCCCACGGGUACUGGCUCUAUCACUGCUGCUAAAGAUGUGAGCACUGGGAGGUUUGUUCAGUGUGUGAAUGGAGAGAACUUGAGUCCUUCCUGUAAGCAACAUCACUUACUGCUUUGUACUCCCAAUAGGCCCCCUCACACGUGCAAGAUGUGGUAUAGUACAUCAGAACAAAGCCAGAGCCAGCCUUCAGCCAGACCGGCGACUUCAGCACUGUGAAGCAGAGGCAGGAGAAUCACUGCAAGUUCAAGCCAGCCCAGCCAGGGCUUCACAGGAGACCCUAUCUCAACCCCCCUCCCCAAAAGGUAAAAAGAUUAGCAAAAUGGGUGGAUCACCAAGUAAGUGUCUAGAAGCAUCUAUUUUUUUCUGAUUGUGUCAUUUGUCUUCCCCCACCCCUCCCCCACUUCCUGUGUCCUGCUGAGAUGAAUCUCUGAAUGGCAUAGUCUUUCUUUUUCUUUUUGAGAUUUAUUUAUCUUUAUUUUCUGUGUAUGAAUGUUUUUC